CGAUAGUGCAAUCUGAUGGCAAUUUAAUAUAAUCCAUAUUUGCAAUAUAUUUCGCUAAUUUGCGAUUAUUUUCUAACGUUACUGCAGUUUAAUUUAAAUUCAGCCGUUUAGUGGGCCGGCCGUUGUAGUUGUGAUCGUUAGGGACGGACCAUUAGAAAAGUGUUGGGGGGGGGGGCAAAACCAAAAAAAAAAUUGCUGAUUCCCAGAAAAAAAUGAAAAAAAAAAAAUCUUUCAAGGCAUAGUGCAAAACAAAAAAAUUCUUGCUUAGAAGAUAGGCCAAGUGGUGUACUGGAGGGAGGGCUCAGGGGAGCUGAGCCCCCUUGUUGAAAUUUCAUGUUGACUUGGGGGGCUGCACGUUGGUCAAAUUUAGCAAAAUUUCUCCCACUCGUGCGGGUUCGUAUUGACAGCGGACAUCUUACAGAAAGUGGCCAGUUCUUUGAAAAAUGUUCAAUUUUACACCGCAAGUCCACUGACAAUAUGAGCCUGCGAUCCUGGGAGAAAAUUUGCUGAAUGUGACCAGCGUGCUGAGCCCCCUAUAUUUUGGCACGUUGCAUAAUUGAUAAUCUUAACAACGUGCGAAAACACACACAAAAAAAUACCAGUAAACGAGAAUGUUCUUUAGAAUUGCAUCUCAUUUUCACGCAUCAUUUAACACGAUUUUUGUAAUCUUUAUAUCGCCAUUUUUGUAAUCUUUAUAUCAUUUAGUACCACUAAAUUGUAAAUUUCGACAUACUAAAACGCUGUUUUCUGACCAUCAGAAUUCUGUCAAAUCUUCCCCAAAGUCCAGGAAAUGGCAUUUCAGAGACUCUAAAUUUAAAAAUUUCCUUGGGCCUUCGGCCCUCGCUUCGGCUUGUUUUUAAUAAGAACAAGACGCUCCACGGAGCGUAAAGUCGCUGGGGCGAUGGAAAUAUGCAAUUUUAAGAACAGCGUGUUUGCUUUUCCGAAAACAUUGAAUCUUGAAGUUUGCCUGGCAGUUAGCGCUAAUAGUUAAAACAAGUACAACCAUGUAGCAAUGUUGUUUUAAUAGUCAUAUAGUAUACAGUAUCUAUCGUAUGUGUUAAAAUUAUAAGCGUUUAUCCUGUUGUCAUUACACAGAUCGGCUGAUGUAAUGUUACCAACCGGUGCGUCGAAGGCUGGAAGGCAAGAAUAUUCUUCCCUUCGAAACUAAACACAUUAUAACGUCUGUGUAAUACAAUGCCUCGUGAGAGGAGAUUACCAAGCGACUGUAUUAUGUAUAGCAAUAACGCUUCAGUCAUAUCUACUAAUCUACAUACCAGUGCGCCUGUGCAGUAUAGAGGCGGCGAUCUGCAUGGAAUAAUAAUAUAUGUUAUUGGGCCAAGAAAGAUUCUAUGUUACUUCCACACGAUAUCAGGAAAUUGAGUUCCUCCUUUUCAGCUUUUGGUAAUACAUUUUGUCCCAAUGAACCUUAAUCCUUCAAUGCUAUUUAAUAGGAAUAGGACUCAAAAGAAGCAGGCGAUGUCUGACUUUAAGUUUAAUUUAUGUAGAUCCAAAAGACCAAAAUAUUAUUACUGACUGGAAAGUUUGGAAAUUGCGCUCCGGAGAUUUCGAAAAUUCAAUAGUAAAUAUAUAGAAAG
rnacentral:lncRNA from 1 species